rnacentral:rRNA from 1 species
UUUUCCACCGGAGCUUGCUCCACCGGAAAAAGAAGAGUGGCGAACGGGUGAGUAACACGUGGGUAACCUGCCCAUCAGAAGGGGAUAACACUUGGAAACAGGUGCUAAUACCGUAUAACAAUCGAAACCGCAUGGUUUUGAUUUGAAAGGCGCUUUCGGGUGUCGCUGAUGGAUGGACCCGCGGUGCAUUAGCUAGUUGGUGAGGUAACGGCUCACCAAGGCCACGAUGCAUAGCCGACCUGAGAGGGUGAUCGGCCACAUUGGGACUGAGACACGGCCCAAACUCCUACGGGAGGCAGCAGUAGGGAAUCUUCGGCAAUGGACGAAAGUCUGACCGAGCAACGCCGCGUGAGUGAAGAAGGUUUUCGGAUCGUAAAACUCUGUUGUUAGAGAAGAACAAGGAUGAGAGUAACUGUUCAUCCCUUGACGGUAUCUAACCAGAAAGCCACGGCUAACUACGUGCCAGCAGCCGCGGUAAUACGUAGGUGGCAAGCGUUGUCCGGAUUUAUUGGGCGUAAAGCGAGCGCAGGCGGUUUCUUAAGUCUGAUGUGAAAGCCCCCGGCUCAACCGGGGAGGGUCAUUGGAAACUGGGAGACUUGAGUGCAGAAGAGGAGAGUGGAAUUCCAUGUGUAGCGGUGAAAUGCGUAGAUAUAUGGAGGAACACCAGUGGCGAAAGCGGCUCUCUGGUCUGUAACUGACGCUGAGGCUCGAAAGCGUGGGGAGCAAACAGGAUUAGAUACCCUGGUAGUCCACGCCGUAAACGAUGAGUGCUAAGUGUUGGAGGGUUUCCGCCCUUCA